rnacentral:rRNA from 1 species
AAGGGGGGGCAACUCCCCGAGUAGAGUGGCGCACGGGUGAGUAACGCGUGGGGAAUCUGCCUUCGAGUGGGGAAUAACCUCGCGAAAGCGGGGCUAAUACCGCACAACAUCCUCCAGUCUUCGGACAGGGGGAUCAAAGAUGACCUCUGCAUGCAAGUUGUCGCUCGAAGAGGAGCCCGCGUCCCAUUAGCUAGUGGGUAGGGUGACGGCCUACCAAGGCGACGAUUGGUAGCCGGCCUGAGAGGGUGACCGGCCACACUGGAACUGAGACACGGUCCAGACUCCUACGGGAGGCAGCAGUGAGGAAUAUUGGACAAUGGGGGCAACCCUGAUCCAGCAAUGCCGCGUGAGUGAUGAAGGCCUUCGGGUUGUAAAGCUCUUUUGCCAGGGACGAUGAUGACGUUACCUGGAGAAUAAGCCCCGGCUAACUACGUGCCAGCCGCCGCUGUAAUAC